CAUGGCCGAGUGGUUAAGACGCCAGGCUAAUAACCUGGAGGUCGCAGGUUCGA
rnacentral:tRNA from 1 species